rnacentral:rRNA from 12 species
ACGGAUCCCUUGGUUCCCGUGGCUCGGCGAGGGCCGCAGUGGAACGCAACGUUUGCGAAAAACGUGGAGAAGGUAGCAGCUU